GGGUCAUUAGCGAAAUUGCAUCGUUUCCAUGAGAUUUAUGAGUUGGUAGUGUGUUUUUUUUUGCUACUCUGACUUGACUAAUAUUGAAUUUAUUUUGUGCUUGUGAUUGGGUAUAUGCUUAGUUGCCUAAUUGGUGUGUAAUCUUCGCUUAGUUGACGAAACUGUAUGGUGAAAAAUUGGUUGAAUAUUAACAUUGCGUUCGCUUAGUUCGUAUUUAUGAAAACAUUGUUAGUCUUCGCUUAAUUGGUUAACUUGUGUUCGAUUAGGGGUUAAAGGAGUGAGUAUUUGUUGCUAAUCUGUGAUUGAAAGCAUUGUAAUUGAGCUAGUGACCAAUCAUUUUUAAAUAGUGUUUGAUUUCGUUCAUUUUAGUUCACUCAAAACUGUCCAAAAACCACCCCCACCACGUGUUCGAUCUAAUUCCUGAACCACAUUUGGUCCUUGAGAGACAACCUAUGAGUCACUUCCUAGUAUUAUAUUGCACUUAAUUGCAUAUUAAAUUUGAUUCGGGUAAGGUCUUGAUCAACAAGAAAUUUACAACUGGGGAGAAGUUAGAAGACCCAACCUUGUUUAGACAAGCUAUAAGAGCAUUGCAAUACUUAAAGAACAUAACACCUGAUAUAGCUUUCUCAGUCAACAAGCUCAACCAAUUCAUGAGUUCUCCCACUAUAGAUCACUGGCAAGGCAUCAAAAGAAAAUUGAAAUAUCUUCAAGGUACCAUCCAACACUGCUUACACAUUAAACCAUCCACUAACUUAGACUUAAUAGGCUUCUCAAAUGCAGAUUGGGCCAUAAAUAUGGAUGACAAAAUCCAUGGCAGGUCAAUGUGUCUUCCUUGGUGAAACACUUAUCUCUUGGUCCUUAAGGAAGCAAAAGGUAGUCUCAAGGUCUAGUACAAAGUCACAAUAUAGAGCCCUUGCUGACUUAGCUGUUGAAAUAGCCUAGACCCGUUCACUCCUUGAUGAGCUAAGACAACCUCUACCAAGAAAACCAACACUAUGGUGUGACAACUUGAGUUCCAAGGCAUUAGCCUCAAAUCUGGUUAUGCAUUCUCGAUCCAAACACAUUGAAAUUGAUGUACACUACAUUAGAGAUCAAGUACUAAAAAAUGAGAUUGUUGUAACCUAUCACUACAAGAAAUGCAGUAAUUACCGAAGGAUAAAUACCGAAGGCUUUUUGGACCGUCGGUAAUAUCGAUUUACCGAAGGCUUUACCGAAGGGCAUGUGAGGUGGUAAUUACCGAAGGAUUGUGACCGUCGAUAAUGGCUGAGUGGAAAUACCGAAGGCUUACGACCGUCGGUAUAAGCAUCGACUUAAUGAAAUGCGAAUUUGGGAUUUCCCUCUCCCAUUGUCCCAAAUUGUUUUCACGCAAGUCUUCCUUUCUCCCUUUACCCGAAAUUUCUUUCUCCGAACACUACUCCCUUUCUUGAUUCCCCAAUCCAUUUGAGUCCAAGAAAAUUGUUUGUCCUUUGCUCCCAAUCAACAUUGGCUUCCUUCUUCGGUUGGUGGUGGUGAGGGGAGGCUUGGAGCUGGUUUGGUGCUGUCGCUACGAGAGGUUGGGUGGUGCGUUUCUGUCAUCUUGGUUAGGGGUUUUCUUUGACGACUAUUCUACGGUAGAGGCUGAGUUGCUGCCUUUUGUGCUGUGGAGGAGGCUAUGUUAGAGGGAGGGUGUGGACAAUCCUUGCGGUGGAGGUUUUGUGUUGCCUUACUUCCCCUGCCGUCAAGGUCUGAGUGACAGAAGGUGUGGAAGGUUCCAACACAGUAGGUUAAAGCUGGUUGCAAAAGGGCUGCACUCAAGUGUCCAAUAGUUAUCAUUUACAGGUGAUGAUGACGUGGAAGUCAAGGCAGAGCAUGAUAAUCUCGUUAUUCAACAUUUUUAAUGAAAACAAUAAAAGUCUUUUGAAAUAUCAACUAAUAUUUGUAAGGACUGGG